UACCGCCGGCCACUAGAGGGCAGCGUCUAAUUACCUGACCGGAUAUGCCACGCUGCCUUCCGUUAAUGUCAGCGUCCAUUUUAGUCUCGUCAUUCAUCCAUUCCACCUCGAGGCGAGAUGUUCAUCCACUCAUUCAUGGUGUCUUCAUCUCUGUCAUUAAACCCUUAAACUGA